AGUAAGGGAAAGAUGAAAGAACUGUAUCAAGCACUGAAAAGCAAAGACAAGCCCUUAUGCCUUCUGCAUAAUGUAUUAACCAGAAAUAACUUUACACAGAGAACUAUAGCCAAGUCCCCCGAAACCAGCCAAGCUACCCAAGAACAACUGAAAGAGCACACUCACCUAUGUGGCAAAAUAGUGGGAAGAUUCAUGAGUAGAAGUGACAAGCCUAUGGAGCCUGGUGAUAGCUGGUUGUCCAAGAUAGACUCCUAGUUCAACUUUAAGCUCAUACACAGAAUUACUUAAUCUCCCUGUAAGUUUAACUGUUAGUCUAAAGAGGGACAGCUCUUUAGACCCUAGGAAACAACCUUCCUACAGAAAAUAAAAAAUAUUAUCACCACAGUUGGCCCAAAAGCAGCCACCAAUUAAGAACGUGUUUAAGCUCAACAUCUAUCUUAAAUUCUAAUCACUCUACUGAACUCCUAACAUCACACUGGACUAAUCUAUUACUUAAUAGACACAAUAAUGUUAGUAUAAGUAACAUGAAGACAUUCUCCAUUGCAUAAGCUUACAUCAGACCAGAAUAAUCCACUGACAGUUAACAGCCUAAUAUUAAUAAACAAUAUAAUAAACACCCUAUUAUUUACACUGUUAACCCAACACAGGUAUGCUCUAAGGAAAGAUUACAAAAAGUAAAAGGAACUCGGCAAAUCAUACUCUGCCUGUUUACCAAAAACACACCUCUAGCAUUACCAGUAUUUGAGGCACUGCCUGCCCAGUGACAUUUGUUCAACAGCCACAGUAUCCUGACCAUGCAAAAGUAGCAUAAUCACUUGUUCCCUAAAUAGGGACUUGUAUGAAUGGCCACAGGAGGGUUUGGCUGCCUCUUACUUUUAAUCAGGGAAAUUGACCUAUCCAUGAAGAGGCAGAUAUAAACAAAUAAGAUGAGAAGCUCCCUAUGGAGCUUUAAUUCAUUAAUGCAAAUUAAAACUCAAACAAGCCUACAGGCUCUAGCCUACUAUUCUUGCAUUAAAAUUUUUGGUUGGGGUGACCUUGGAGCAUAAUUCAACCUCUGAACAACCUACACUAAGACUGCACUAGUCUAAGUGAGUUAAUACAUAUGGACCCAAUAAUUUGAUCAACAGAGUAAGGUACCCUAGGGAUAACAGCACAAUCCGUUCUACAGUUCAUAUUGACAAUAGGGUUUAUGACCUUGAUGUUAGAUCAGGACAUCCUAAUGGUGUAACCACUGUUAAGGAUUCAUUUAUUCAAUGAUUAAAGUCGAUUAACGUGAUCUGAGUUCAGACUGGAGUAAUCCAGGUUGGUUUCUCCAAGUAUGAAAGGACAAGAGAAAUAGAGUCCCUUUCAUAAAGUGCCCUCACUUC
rfam:Pan troglodytes isolate Yerkes chimp pedigree #C0471 (Clint) chromosome 10, whole genome shotgun sequence.